rnacentral:lncRNA from 1 species
GGCCUCCUGAAAGUAGGGGGAGUGCCCUGGCAGAGGGUGAAGAGCUAAUUUCUGAUCAUCCUGAGAGAAGGCUUCGGAGGUGACAGAAUGUCCCUGCCUUUCCUACCUGCCCACCCACCCCUUCCACCCUGUCCCAACCUUCUCACUGGUGGGAAGUUCUCAGUAGGAAAGAGAUGAGGGUUUGGUCAAAAAUUCCCUUUCAAGGGUAGGCGUUAUUGG